rnacentral:lncRNA from 1 species
AACUAAUAAGUCAAGAGAAUGAAGCUAUCUGUCAUCCACAAAACCUGAAAUGCACAUCUAACUGCCACUGCUUGCUCUGAACCCUGCCAUGAAAGAAAAAAGGAAAAAAAUUAAAACUGAACAGCAGCAAAAAAUAAAACAAAACAAAUUUAAGAAAGGAGAUGGGAAAGGCUACAAUCACCGGAGAAAACCCAAUUAACUAUGUCUAAAAAGUUCCCUCGAUCAACCACUGAAGCCACCUAAUAAAACAACCAAAACCAACAACAACUUCCAUUAAAUUCCAAAUCAAAAUGUGUAACAUCAAGCAUAAUAAAUCUAAAACACGUGAAUGUCAAGCCUGAAUAAAAUAAAUGUUUGAAGAAACAUGUCAAAAGGAAACAAAAAAAACUCAAAAAAAAAAAGAAAAGGUGUGAGGCCGUAAGCUCACAGAGACAAAAUGAGAGAACGAAAGAGAAGGUUCGAUACUUGUCGGAGACAGAACAAGAGAAGCUAUAAGUCGAUUUGGAAAGAGAUUUAUGGAUUAGGGAUUGGAACGAUGAACGAAUUAGGGGUUUCGAUUUGGAGUAUUUGAAAUUUAUUAGGGAUUUCUUCUACUUAGGGAUUUGGAACGAUGACCAAAUUAGGCACUUGUGGUUGCAUCAAUUCCAUAGAUCCAUGGAUGAAGAGAUGAGUUAGGCUAGGGUUUUACAUUUUGGAACGAUGGAACUGUUUUGCGUUUUUGGAGUUUAAGUGUAGUGUUUGAUUAGUUAUGUGAUGGGGUUCUAUUUUUU